GCGGCGUGCUUAAACAUGCAAGUCGAACGAACCUUCGGGUUAGUGGCGGACGGGUGAGUAACGCGUGAGAAUCUGCCCUCAGGAGGGGGAUAACAGCUGGAAACGGCUGCUAAUACCCCAUAUGCCGCGAGGUGAAAUGAAUUUCGCCUGAGGAUGAGCUCGCGUCUGAUUAGCUAGUUGGUGUGGGUAAUGGCUCACCAAGGCAUCGAUCAGUAGCUGGUCUGAGAGGAUGAUCAGCCACACUGGGACUGAGACACGGCCCAGACUCCUACGGGAGGCAGCAGUGGGGAAUUUUCCGCAAUGGGCGAAAGCCUGACGGAGCAACGCCGCGUGAGGGAUGAAGGCCUCUGGGCUGUAAACCUCUUUUAUCAAGGAAGAAGAUCUGACGGUACUUGAUGAAUAAGCCCCGG
rnacentral:rRNA from 1 species